rnacentral:rRNA from 1 species
AUUGAACGCUGGCGGAAUGCUUUACACAUGCAAGUCGAACGGUAGAGGGGGCAACCCCUUGAGAGUGGCGAACGGGUGAGUAAUAUAUCGGAACGUGCCCAGUCGUGGGGAUAACGUAGCGAAAGUUACGCUAAUACCGCAUACGAUCUAAGGAUGAAAGCGGGGGAUCGCAAGACCUCGCGCGAUUGGAGCGGCCGAUAUCAGAUUAGGUAGUUGGUGAGGUAAAGGCUCACCAAGCCAACGAUCUGUAGCUGGUCUGAGAGGACGACCAGCCACACUGGAACUGAGACACGGUCCAGACUCCUACGGGAGGCAGCAGUGGGGAAUUUUGGACAAUGGACGCAAGUCUGAUCCAGCCAUUCCGCGUGCAGGAUGAAGGCCCUCGGGUUGUAAACUGCUUUUGUACGGAACGAAAAGGUUUCUAUUAAUACUAGGAGCUCAUGACGGUACCGUAAGAAUAAGCACCGGCUAACUACGUGCCAGC